rnacentral:rRNA from 1 species
UACACUCCUGCGGGAGGCAGCAGUGGGGAAUAUUGGACAAUGGGCGCAAGCCUGAUCCAGCCAUGCCGCGUGAGUGAUGAAGGCCCUAGGGUUGUAAAGCUCUUUCACCGGUGAAGAUAAUGACGGUAACCGGAGAAGAAGCCCCGGCUAACUUCGUGCCAGCAGCCGCGGUAAUACGAAGGGGGCUAGCGUUGUUCGGAUUUACUGGGCGUAAAGCGCACGUAGGCGGACUAUUAAGUCAGGGGUGAAAUCCCGGGGCUCAACCCCGGAACUGCCUUUGAUACUGGUAGUCUUGAGUUCGAGAGAGGUGAGUGGAAUUCCGAGUGUAGAGGUGAAAUUCGUAGAUAUUCGGAGGAACACCAGUGGCGAAGGCGGCUCACUGGCUCGAUACUGACGCUGAGGUGCGAAAGCGUGGGGAGCAAACAGGAUUAGAAACCCGAGUAGUCCCAUGA